GACGGAGGAUGCAAGUGUUAUCCGGAAUCACUGGGCGUAAAGCGUCUGUAGGUGGUUUAAUAAGUCAACUGUUAAAUCUUGAGGCUCAACCUCAAAAUCGCAGUCGAAACUAUUAGGCUAGAGUAUAGUAGGGGUAAAGGGAAUUUCCAGUGGAGCGGUGAAAUGCGUAGAGAUUGGAAAGAACACCGAUGGCGAAGGCGACUUACUGGACACGUAUUGACGCUGAGGUGCGAAAGCGUGGGGAGCAAACAGG
rnacentral:rRNA from 1 species